UUCGCAAUGCCCGAAAGGGUGACGAAGCGACGCCGCGUGAGUGAGGAAGGCCUUCGGGUUGUAAAGCUCUGUCAGGAGUUAAGAAAUGUAAGUGCGCUAAUAUCGCAUUUAUUUGACGAAGGCUCCAAAGGAAGUCACGGCUAACUCUGUGCCAGCAGCCGCGGUAAUACAGAGGUGGCAAGCGUUGUUCGGAAUUAUUGGGCGUGAAGAGCACGUAGGUGGGUUUGCAAGUCAGAUGUGAAAGCCUCCUGUUCAACGGGAGAAUUGCAUCUGAAACUGCAGAUCUUGAGUGUAGGAGGGGAGAAUGGAACUUCUGGUGGAGCGGUGAAAUGCGUAGAUAUCAGAAGGAACGCCGGCGGCGAAAGCGAUUCUCUGGCCUAUUACUGACACUCAGUGUGCGAAAGCUAGGGGAGCAAACGGGAUUAGAUACCCCGGUAGUCCUAGCCGUAAACGAUGGGCACUAAGUAGAGGGGUUUU
rnacentral:rRNA from 2 species